UUUGGCUUAUGGUUCUCACUCUCGCCCGACUCUCCUCCCAAGUUCAAAUGCGGUUUUCCAAUGCAGAGAGGGAGGUAAAGAAAGAAGAUUGCGGGCGUUGGACACUUCUCUGGAGAGCAUCUUCUCGAGCAUUCGGUCAGGUAGGAACUUGAUGAGAUUAAGAGCAAUGCUAUGAGGCUGGUUUUUUGCCUUGAUCAGAUUCUAUCCUUUACCGUUCAAUUCUGAGAAGUUUUGUUAGCAAUGCCAGUGACAUGUAAACAACAACUUCAGGCACCCACAUGCAGCAUGCAUUUAACACAAACUAAACCGACUAAACUGCCAAACCAUCACUAAUUCAGUCCAGAAAUCAGAUUUCUUGAACAAUCCUAACCUCUGGUUUUUGGACACUUGUUUGUUGAAACAGGACCAUUAAACAAUUUUAUUUUUAUUUUUAACCACCCAAUUAGUAUCCACCAAUCUAAUAUUUACAGAUAACAAAUAAUCUUGAUUUUUGGUUCAUGAUACAUCUAAACAGGAACCCAUGAUUUGGCCAGCCUAAUUUGAAUUAAUUGUAUGCAACAUAUGCAAUUUGUAACUAAUUUCUGUCUGUGCAUCGUCCACCACUCCGCCAGAGUGUCAAGUUUUUCUUCAAGCUAUAAGUUCACGAAUAUAUGAAAUUGUAAAUAUUGCAAAUAUUCUUUUU